rnacentral:rRNA from 1 species
AGUGAACGCUGGCGGUAGGCCUAACACAUGCAAGUCGAACGGCAGCACAGGAGAGCUUGCUCUCUGGGUGGCGAGUGGCGGACGGGUGAGGAAUACAUCGGAAUCUACUUUUUCGUGGGGGAUAACGUAGGGAAACUUACGCUAAUACCGCAUACGACCUACGGGUGAAAGCAGGGGAUCUUCGGACCUUGCGCGAUUGCAUGAGCCGAUGUCGGAUUAGCUAGUUGGCGGGGUAAAGGCCCACCAAGGCGACGAUCCGUAGCUGGUCUGAGAGGAUGAUCAGCCACACUGGAACUGAGACACGGUCCAGACUCCUACGGGAGGCAGCAGAGGGGAAUAUUGGACAAUGGGCGCAAGCCUGAUCCAGCCAUACCGCGUGGGUGAAGAAGGCCUUCGGGUUGUAAAGCCCUUUUGUUGGGAAAGAAAUCCAGCUGGUUAAUACCCGGUUGGGAUGACGGUACCCAAAGAAUAAGCACCGGCUAACUUCGUGCCAGCCGCCGCAGUAA